AAAAAAAACAUGACAGCAGUAUAAAAAUCCGAUUUGCCUAAAGGACAUUUCUUUAAGGCAAGGAAUUUCAUUGCAAUACCUGUCCCGCCGUAAACCUAAGGUUUCCUGGGGAAGGUAAAUCCGCCCAGGGUUAGUCGGAGCCUAAGCUGAGGCCGAAGGGCGUAGGCGAUGGACAACCGGUCAACAUUCCGGUACUACCGAAUGAUCGCUUUAAGUGAUGGGGGGACACAGUAGGGUAGGUCAGCACGAUAAAAGUUACGUGUCCAAGCCUGAUAUGGGAGAAGACAGGCAAAUCCGUCUUCUAUUAAACCCUAAGAGGUGAUAGGGAGCUGCCACGGCAGCGAACUGACUGAUCCCACACUGUCAAGAAAAGCCUCUAAACAAGAUCAUGCGGUAUCCGUACUAAAACCGACACAGGUAGGUAGGUAGAGAAUACCAAGGCGCUCGAGAUAACCCUCGUUAAGGAACUCGGCAAAAUGACUCCGUAACUUCGGGAGAAGGAGUACCCCAUUAAGGUGAGUUGAUUUACUCAUACAAGCCUGAAGGGGUUGCAAAAAAACGGCCCAAGCGACUGUUUACUAAAAACACAGGUCUCUGCUAAAUCGCAAGAUGAUGUAUAGGGACUGACGCCUGCCCGGUGCUGGAAGGUUAAGGAAGGAGGUUACUUCUCCCUCGGGAGAGGGAAGCUUCUGACCGAAGCCCCAGUAAACGGCGGCCGUAACUAUAACGGUCCUAAGGUAGCGAAAUUCCUUGUCGGGUAAGUUCCGACCCGCACGAAUGGCGUAACGAUUUGGGCACUGUCUCAACGAGGGACUCGGUGAAAUUGUAGUGUAAGUGAAGAUGCUUACUACCCGCGACAGGACGGAAAGACCCCGUGAACCUUUACUGUAACCUGAUAUUGAAUUUUAGCAUAUCCUGUGUAGGAUAGGUGGUAGGCGAUGAAGGAGGGGCGCAAGCUUCUCUGGAGCCAUCCUUGAAAUACCACCCUUGGUAUGUUUGGAUUCUAACCUUUGACCGUUAUCCGGCAAAGGGACAGUAUUUGGUGGGCAGUUUGACUGGGGCGGUCACCUCCUAAAGAGUAACGGAGGUGUCCCAAGGUCUCCUCAGUGUGGUUGGAAAUCACACCUAAGAGUAUAAGGGCAGAAGGAGGCUUAACUGCGAGAGAGACAUCUCGAGCAGAUGCGAAAGCAGGGCCUAGUGAUCCGGCGGUAACUAGUGGAUGUGCCGUCGCUUAACGGAUAAAAGGUACUCCGGGGAUAACAGGCUUAUCUCCCCCAAGAGUCCAUAUCGACGGGGAGGUUUGGCACCUCGAUGUCGGCUCGUCGCAUCCUGGGGCUGAAGCAGGUCCCAAGGGUUUGGCUGUUCGCCAAUUAAAGCGGUACGCGAGCUGGGUUUAGAACGUCGUGAGACAGUUCGGUCCCUAUCCGUCGUGGGCGUAGGAUACUUGAAGAGGGUCUGCCUCUAGUACGAGAGGACCGAGGUGGACGAACCUCUGGUGAACCAGUUGUCCUGCUCAGGGCACCGCUGGGUAGCUAUGUUCGGUCGGGAUAAACGCUGAAAGCAUCUAAGCGUGAAACCCACCUCAAGAUGAGGUAUCCCGUCUGGAUUUUUCCAGAGAGAGACCCCGGGUAGACUACCCGGUUGAUAGGUCAGAAGUGUAAGGGCAGCAAUGUCUUUAGCUAACUGAUACUAAUAGGUCGAGGGCUUGAUCG
rnacentral:rRNA from 1 species